GAUGAACGCUGACAGAAUGCUUAACACAUGCAAGUCUACCAAGAAUCACUUCGGUGAGGAAUGGUGGCGGACGGGUGAGUAACGCGUAAAUAAUCUGCCCUUUAGACUGGGAUAUCCUUUGGAAACGAAGGUUAAUACCGGAUAUUAUGAGAUGGACGCAUGUUCAACUUAUGAAAGCUAAAUGCACUAGAGGAGGAGUUUGCGUCCCAUUAGCUAGCUGGUGAGGUAAAGGCUCACCAAGGCCACGAUGGGUAGCCGGCCUGAGAGGGUGAACGGCCACAAGGGAACUGAGGCACGGUCCUUACUCCUACGGGAGGCAGCAGUGGGGAAUAUUGGACAAUGGACCAAAAGUCUGAUCCAGCAAUUCUGUGUGCACGAUGAAGGUCUUCGGAUUGUAAAGUGCUUUCAGUAGGGAAGAAAAAAAUGACGGUACCUACAGAAGAAGCGACGGCUAAAUAUGUGCCAGCCGCCGCGGUAAGAC
rnacentral:rRNA from 1 species